ensembl:lncRNA
CUCUGACAGAAACUCCUGCCUUUAUAUACACGACAGGAGCAGCAGGAUUAUGAAAUCACUGGUGUGUUUUUAGUUGGAAUUACACGUGCAAAAUUAUUAACUCAACUGAAUUACACAACAAACUGACCCACCCAAUUUCUCUGUUCCACAGAAUCCACUGUGACUUCUUGAGUCAGGCCAUUUUGGGUCACGAUACAAGAGAAGAUCGUUUAUGUAACAUCUUUAAAAACAUCACUACACACAGUCAUUAAAGACGUUUCAGUUUUUAUUUGGCAAUUAAAUUCUUAGGCUCACAGCAUCCUCAACGUUAAAGAAAAAACAACUAAAUCGCACAAAACGACAGUAACAUCUAGAUAAAAAUCAGACAAAUAUAAAUAAAAAAUAUAAAAAAAAGAGUAAAAUAAAUAAAUACAGUUUACUAAAAAUACUUUAGCCGCUGCAGAGUCAGUGAUAUAUACAGUGUGUAAUAUAAACUGUCCAAUAUUUCUGCAGGUCAGUAUCCUGAUGGCUUGUAAGUAGAAACUGUCCCUGAAUCUGCUGCUGUGGGUGUGGACGCUCCUGUACCACAUGAGGAGUGUGAGGCUGUGUUGCUGGGACCAGAGAGGAUCCUCUGGGCCGUCCUCCUGCAGCGCUGCCUGUAGAGGUCCUGGAUGGCUGACAGCUCGGACCUGGUGAUACGCUGUGCUGAUCUGACCACCCUCCAUAGAGCGUUAUAGCUGCCGUACCAGGUCGUGAUACAGUCAGACAGAAUAAUGUCGAUGGUGCAUUAGUAGAAGUUGGUCAGUAAGAGAAGAAUCAGGCAGAUAAAUGGAUCAUGUUACUGAGUGGCAGCUUCAUGUUUCCAUCUGUGCUGAUUCACCUGACCUGCAGCAUGGCUCAAAGCUCUUCUCGUGGCUGGUUUUCAUUCUCAGAUGAUGCUACAGAUGAACCUGCAGCCAGAGUCAUCCGUCUGAUGGGAUCUGUUUGUUUUAGCCGGCAUGUUUCAGGAUCCACUCACUACAGGGAUGUUUCACAUCUUUACUCUGGGUCUGAACAUCGACUCUCUUUAUUCUUAGGACGGUUUAUUUCUGCCCACAUGCAGAUUCAUUCACCUCCUGAUGUGAAUCCUGUGGAAUUACCUCUGUUGGGUCUGUGUUUCCACAAGCCUCGAUAGUUUAGAGACUUAUUC